GCACCCAUAGCUCAGCUGGAUAGAGCGCCUGGCUACGAACCAGGAGGUCUCAAGUUCGAAUCUUGAUGGGUGUACCA
rnacentral:tRNA from 1 species